CUCUUUCUCUCCUUGACAGGGAAAAGCAAGUGCCUGCCUAAAGGACGCUGAAUAAAUCCAACCUAGUCAUUACUUAGGCUUAUCUUGCGAAUUUUCACAAGACCCCAUGAAGGAGCUCAGGACAACCAGGCACCUGGGGUUGCAACUCACAGUCUAAAGGAACUACUACUUUUGGUAUCACAGGAAGAAACUACGAAGUUGGGGCUGACAGUGUGCCACCGAGGAGACACGGAGGAACUGAGUUCUGGGACAGAUGGUCUUGAGAAGCAGGACGAGAACCAAGGGAGCCACAGAGAUGGAAGGUGGUCGUGGGUGGCCCACGGAGACAAGUUUCACCCACGCCACAGAAGAACCAAUGAUCUCAGCCCUCCCUCCGAAGGCAGACAGAGAGUGGUGGUUUCAAUAACCCAGCAAAUGGGCAGGUCAUCAGUGUCAGAAGAACCCAGGAAUUAAGAAGAGGUUCAGGAAUCUCAUAGGAUAAAUACUCCCAAGCAACUUCUCUACUAGAAACUCUCUCGGUUUCUCUCUCACUGGUUAGACCAGUAACUGUCAGAUGUUCACACAACAAGCAAAACUCUCUGACCACCCAGGGGGGGAUGCUGAACUCUCAUAGCAAGGUACUGUCCAGGUAUGUUGAGACCCUUGGUUCUUACUUCGCAUGCUUACUACGAGUUACUCAUGUUUGUUGCCAAACCUGUUUUGUCUGUUGCAAUUUGAAAAUUUUAUGAACUGGGACGCCUGGGUGGCUCAGUUGGUUAAAU